rnacentral:lncRNA from 1 species
CCCACUAAGCCCGAUUAGUAAACUAUUAUACUAUAGGCUGCCUAAACACGCACAGGGCAGAGGACUUACCUUGGCCUCAGACUCCACCUGUGACAUCCAGAUUUUCGGGUUUUAAUUUGACUGGAUAAAUAGGGCCGUUUUGUUCAGUUGAAGCCAGAGAUUGUGAAUUCGGGAUACAAGUGGGCUAUACUGAUAAGAAAAAGUACCAAUUUGAUCGAUGAAAUAUUGAAUGAAAUUAUAGGGGUCAAAUUGAUUUGAUUCAAGUGGGAUUAAGGUUCAAUUUGGAAAGAAACCUUAGCAAAAUUCGUAUGCCCAUAAACCCAACUCUUUAGCCUACCUAAAUGCUUCUAGAAGGGGGCAUAAUUGUCAAAAAUGAGGAGUGGAUGACAGCUGAUGGUGGCCCACGGAUGGCUGACCUAAGAGAGAGAGUGUGUGAGAAGAAAAUGAGAAAUUGGUUUUCUCUUCUUCUCUCUCUCCCCUCCGUCAACCGAAUGCAUCCCCCAUCUUCUUCUUUUUCUUCAAGACUCCAUGGAAGCUGAAGAUCAGCGAACCAGCAGGCCGAAGUAGCGAUUCCUCUCGGCGUCGAUGCAGCAAGCAACCGGAGCCGGAGUCGCUGCUGUCCGCCGUCCUGCUGCCCGUGCACAGCUCCGUCCCUCUCUCUUCCGCCCUUCUUGUUCGAACAUAGCAGAACAGAAGCAGAGACAGCACCACCGAGGGGAAGAUCGGAGCAGAUCGUCGUCGCGUCGGGGCACCGUCGCCGCCCGCGCACUCUGCCACCGCCCGAAAGCCCUCCACCUCUCUUUCAUCUCAUCAGCCACUGUUGACGUUCCCCUCCGUUUGCUGCUCGGGAUCUCAGAUCUGGGAAGACACCGGAGUUGGGGCAGCAGCUGGCGUUGCUGGACCGGAGCUGCCGCACCGCCGCCCGCGCGACGCCAUGCGCUCCGCCGCUGCUUCGCUCAGCUCGGUCUCCCUCUCGCCCAGCUCGUUGUUCCAGAGCUGCUGUCCAACCCCUGUUCCGCCUCUGUCCAGCAAGUGCAAGACCCGCCGGAGCUUCCUCCGACCACCUCCGGCCACCGUGAAGCCUCGCCUUGGUCUUGUUCAGCUCCUCCGCCCAUUCCCGAGCCCAACCAGCCUCGGAUCCGCCCUCCUUCGCCUCCAACCAGCAGCGAUCAGUGAGUGCAGAAAGUGGGUAUCGCAGAGGGUUUUGGCCCGUUUUGGCCGUUUUCCCGAGCCCGGAUGCUCGGCCCGCUUUGAGGAAAGUUGAUCCUCGCGUCGAGCCCGUCGUUUUGAGUGAGUUUUACUCACUAACGCCUUCUUAGUGCGCUAAUUAUACUUAAAGGUUGAUUAGUGUUAAUUAAGUGUAAUUAGGUUGUUAGAUUAGAUUUGAUUAGUGAUUAUUAGUUAAUUGCUUUGCAUAUUAGUUGUGUGAUUAGUGUAAUUAGAUAGAGAAUUGCUUGUAGUAUUUAUUGGAUGCUUCUUGGGAUUUUUCCCGUCCCUUAUCGGGUGUUAAUUAAGCAAAUCGGGCUUAUGUGGUAUUUUUAGGAAUUAAAUAUUAAUUUUCGAAAUUAAUUAUUUAAUUAUUUAUUUCCCGGAAAUUCAACUGGGAUGGCCAGUGACCGGGAUUUUAUGCUGAUGAUCGUGGCGCAGUCCGUUUAUUUAAUUGAGCUUUAUAUUGUGUUAAAUUGAAUUUAUUGUAUUUAUUUAUUUAAUUUUCGAAAUUAAUUAUUUAAUUAUUUAUUUUCCGGAAAUUCAACUGGGAUGGCCAGUGACCGGAAUUUCGUGCUGAUUGUCGUGGAGCAGUCCGUUUAUUUAUUUGAGCUUUAAUUUACGUCGAAUUGAUUUAAUGGUGCAUUUUUAAGUAUGUUAUUAAAUAAUGCAAUUUUGGUCUUGUGAUUGAGAAUUGGUCGGAUAUCGGUUGUUAGUAUCGAAAGUGAGUUGGUAAAUCACCUUGAGGAUGCACGUGGCCCAGUGAAUUGGAAUAUCACUUGGGAAAGACACGUGGCUCGGUGAUUUAAUAUGUCAUCUUGGCGAAAAGAUAGCCUUAGAGAAUGCACGUGGCUCGGAGACUCGGUAUGUCCUCCUGGAGCAUGCACGUGGCUCGGUGACAUAGUAUGACAUCUUGAGAGGGUCGGGUGGGACCGUAAAGCCACUAGUUCUUGAGAGGGUCGGGUGGGACCGAAAAGCCACUAGUUCUUGAGAGGGUCGGGUGGGACCGAAAAGCCACUAGUUCUGAGAGGGUCGGGUGGGACCGAAAAGCCACUAGUUCUCGAGAGGGUCGGGUGGGACCGUAAAGCCACUAGUUCUUGAGAGGGUCGGGUGGGACCGAAAAGCCACUAGUUCUCGAGAGGGUCGGGUGGGACCGCAAAGCCACUAGUUCUUGAGAGGGUCGGGUGGGACCGUAAAGCCACUAAAUCCAAGGAAUUGCUUGGUGUUGGAUGAAUGACCUAGAAAUGAUUCGACUAGGUCGAUUGAUCGAUGAUUCGAUCCGAGUGUGAUUUGAUGCGAUUCAUUGCCUUGGUUUGAUGUUGUGAAUUGAAUGAUUGAAGGGAGAUGAUCGUGAGUGGUCUUCCUAAUGUGAAAUCGACUAAGUCGAUUAGAUCGAUGCUUCGAUCUGUGAUGUGAUUGCUUGUGUGCCUAUUCGAACUGUACUAAUAUGCAGGUGGAAUCUGAGGCUAAGGUACGUCCUCUGACUCAUGUUGUGCGUAGGCAGCCCUAAGGUAUAUUAGUUUACUAAUUGGGUCUUAGGAGCUAGAACUUGCUGAGACGUGGUCUCAGUGGUUAUUGAAUAACCAUUUCAGGACCUGGAUGAGGAGCAUGAAUCUGAUGAGGAGAUCUCUGUUGAGGAACCCAAAGAGGAGUAUGUGGAGGAGGACCCCGAGUAUGACAUCGAGUACGACUCGGAUGAGGAUCGAAAUCCUAUCCUGUCUUGUCAGACCUUGUUCGCAUGUAAAAAGAUGUAGUUGUGAAUUUUCAGUAAGAAAAAUAUAUCCCUAGAAUAUGCGUAUCCCAUUGCUUUAUUGUCUGGGGAAUUAUAACUGCUUCCGCAUGUGCAUAUAUAAAAGAAAGGGUCGGCGAUACAUAGUCCUGGGAUAUCGCAUUUUUAAAUCGACCAAAAGUAAGGGAUGUGUGCGUGCCUGAGGGUCGGGGCGUGACAUCCCCUUUUUGUGGUAUCAGAGCAAUGGUUAGGUAUUGGAGUGAUAAGGUGCGAUGACCUAUGGGAUAGUAGUAGGAAAGACCUUUAAAUUCAUGACUGGUGCAUGUGUUUGAUAGCUGAUUGGUAGAAUUGUUUGUCAUGUGUGAAUCGCUUGCUUUUAAUCAUUGUGAAUUCGGAAGGCAGAGUGUUGACUCUGGCCAGCUUGAGCGUAAGAGUGCCAUCGCAGGUUGGUACUAGUGUAGCAGCAGUGAUUGAUCCUAAGCCCGAUAAGAUUGAUUUGAUGCAAGUGUUUCUUGGGAUCUGAAUGAGCCGGUAAGAUCAGGAUCAAGUUGUUGUUGUUGCUACCUUUGUUGAGGUCCAACCUGGAAGGAUAGUCAGGGAACAUAUUUCGAUUUUUGAGUCAAGAUUCAGCGCAAGCAGACUGGGAAUUCGGUCAGGGGAAAAGACUGAUGUUGAGGGAAGAGUAUUUUGUUCCACUCAAUAGGAAUGGUGGAAUAGUCAGGUCAGCAUUCAGACAAACGGAACAUGUUGUUCUAUGGAAGAUGAUAUAGAUCAGUCUCGUGUAUUAUGAGGGCAAGAAAUUGUGGUAAGUGUCGCCAGUACGGACAGUGAUUUAUGGUGUAUUCGCAUAAGAAGAUGGAAUCUUGACAAUAGUUACUGUUGUCACUGUUGGUAGAACAGUUCAGGAGAAGUGCGCCAUAGAACGCACUGUGGAAUUGCUGGGAUAGGUCUCUGGCACAAGAAGUAGUGCAUCCUAGCACUUGACAAGAGGUAAAAGACUCACCAGAUAGGUGUCGAAAUGGUGGAAGAAAACCUGGAUGAAUUCAGUAUCCAGGUAUGGUGAGAAGAACGGAAAUGGAACCGACCUGGCACUAGGCAGAGGAAGAAUGUUUUGGGGGAAAAUUCUAUCAGAGUAUCGUAGCAGAGUUUGGAUGAAGUUUGGGGAACUUCAGUUUAUUGAAAUAAGUGGAAGAAAGGGGAAUCACCAGUUAUUGUUCUUUGGAUUAAUAGAACCGAAGGUACGGAUGUGAAGAUUGAUGAAUGAGGAAUUCAUGCAUAUUAGUGCAUCGCUUUAAGGAACAUCAGUUUUGUAGAAAGAGAAAGGAAGAUGGUUCAUUGCAAUCAUGCAUCAACCAUAGUCAACUUAAUUGGGUGACUUGUUAUAAAGAGUGUUGAUGUCUUCAAGGAUUGACUUAAGGACAGAUUAUUGUCAGUUGAGAACCAGAAAGGAGGUGAUACUGAAGACAACACUUCGCACUUGAUUUAGCCCCUGUGAGAAUAAUGUAAAGCCAUUUGAUUUGACGAAUGCUCUAGCCGUUGUCAUAGACUUGACAAACUGAGUAUUUAAAGAAUAUCUAGAUCAAUGGUGAUCGUGUGGUGUAGUGACAUUCUAGGGUAUUCAUUAAGUGAUGAGGAUCACGAGAGCCCCUAAGAAUGGUCAUGUGAUUACAGGUUAAGGAAUCUUCAUGGACCUAGCCAAGAUCGAAUCAGUUGUUAAUGGACCGAGACUGACAUCAACGUCAGAGAUCAUAAGCUGUGGGGAUUGGACAGAUUACUACAGAAGGGUUGUGAAAGAAUUUUCAACAGCAGUACCAUCGUGGGCUUGAUCUCUUAAGAAAGAAGAAAAAAUUCAUCAGCAUAGAUAAGUACGAGGAUAGUUUCCAAAGCUCAAGUAAGAAUUGACUAUCGUACUCGUGCUAAACUUUUCAUUUGGCUCUGGAAAGCACGGAAUCUUUAGUGAUGUGUCAUGUAAAGGAUGGUUAUGCAUUGAUACAACAUAAGAAGAUUGUUGCAUCACCGUUCUGCCAGUUGAGACCCAAUAAGUGGAAUACGAAGCGGUGUCGUGAACCAUAAUUUUGGCAGAACUAUAAUAGUGAUAUCGGGUAUCACCUUGGAGGAUUGAAAUGAGUCAUUAAUGUGUUGAGCCGAGAGUCUUCAAUUGUGCAUAGACUGGUUAAAGUGUAGACUUUACUUGAAAAGACUUCCAAGCUUGGUUUUCAAAUUUGAGGUAGGCUACCUUUUGAAUUUUUAUAGCCACCCUCAAGAUUGAACCAAAUGUUCAAGUUAGAAUCAGCGCCUAGUUGGCAGACAAAGAUGUUCAGAAGAUCUUAUAAGAGGAUACUGGUAAGAAGGAAUCUGACUUUAAGAUUUAUGAGAAUGGAAAGUUCAGGUUCCAUGAGUGAUUGAAUACCCUUGACAGUGUAGCACUCAGGGAAAAGAUCUUGUCGGAAGUUCACUAUAGUAUUGCAGUUUUGACCAGAUGGUGCAAAUAAAUCAGAAUCGGCAUCAGCUAGAUUAGUAAGCUGAUAUGAAGAUAAAUAUUGCUGAGCAGGUUGCAAGUGUCAGAAGUGUCAGUAAGUGGAAGCUCGGUAAUGUGAAUCGGGAGAAUUUUUACCAUCACUUGAGAGUCCCAAGUGGAAAUGGAAAUAUAUCACAAUGGAACAUUGUGAUAGUCUUACUAAGGAUUCAGGGGAUUACUGAUACCAUUUGAGAAUAGUGGUCGAUCGAUAGAUGGAGUUGAUCCACUUUGGUACAGUACGAAUAGAUCUUGUUUUGAGUGUGUAACAUCCAGAUUUCGAGCUCUGAUUUCGAUUAGAUAAAUUGGGCAUUUCAUCGACGCGAUUACAGUGUUUUUCUCUGAGUUGGCCACUCAUGAGAUAACUAGACUAGCUGGGUGAGUUAUUAAGGACCUUAAGGCAAAUAGACGUGAGAAUUCGACCAAUGAUCGACUUCUCGACCGUGCUCAUCUUUAGAGAUCAUUACGGCACAGUUAAAAAUCGAAUUAAAAUCGAAGAUAGGUUGGCUCGACUGAGAUAAGUGACCAAUCGUGGGUGACCCCACUAAAUUGGAAAACUCUCGUCGACUGGCACUAAUUUGACUUUACUGUCGGUUUGGUACCCUGUGUCCGUAUUUGAAUCUUUGAGAUUUUCACGACAAUCGAGAGUCGUCAAUGUGUCGAGUGGGUUUAUUGUGGUUCGAAGAAAAUCGACCACGGGUCAUUUGUCCUAAAAAGUUCUGAAAACUACCUAGUAGCCUAGGUCACACUAAAAGCGUGUCGGAGUGAAAUUAACCGCCAAUCUAAGUUCGAUUUCAGAAAUUGAAGAUUCUAUCUUAUCAGAGUGGGUAUACCGAAGUGUGUGUGCAUCAGAUAAUUCGCCGGCAUGGAGUGCCGGGGAUAAAUUAUAUUUUGAAUCUAGCUCAGAGAUUAUCAAUUUGGCAAAGCUUUCAAAGGGUUCUUUCUUAAGCAGUGUUAUAGAAGAGGGUACAGAAUUUCAGUGGUGAAAAGAAAGUGAAGAAGAUUUCAGGCCAAAGUCAGUACAGUAGUCAGUGAUUGCGGUUGCCAAGAUCAGUGCUAGAGUUAUAGUAGAUCUUGACCAGAAGUUCCCAGUUUCAGCAGAUCAAUCAGAUAGUUUCCUUUUAAUCAGUGCAGAGCAAAGUGUACAGGAUUUCAGUCGGUUGGGAUGAGAUCAGAAAUCAAAAAAUCGCAAGUCCAAAGUCAACUAAGAAAUCGGUGUGUACAGUUGUCAGAUCAAUGUCAGAGUAAAGACUGCUCAGAACUGUCAGAAAGCUUGAAUCGUUGAGGUUCGAAGGUUCAUUAGGGAGUCGAGAAGAAGAGAUCAGAUGUGAAAGAUGGAGUGUCAUAUAUGAGAAGCUCAGUUCAGUUGUUGGUUCAGAAAGAACAGAUUUUGUGUACAAAGAUGAUCUCUUUGGUCAAAGUGGUCGGACAACGCCACGAGACCGAAUGAUCGGCGUGGAAAAGUGAGACUCGGUGAGACGACAAUACUCCCAUCCUUCGUAUAAGGAUUGGUAAAGGUUUAAAUUUCGAGGACGAAAUUUUUAUAAGAGGGGAAGAGUUGUGACAUCCAGAUUUUCGGGUUUUAAUUUGACUGGAUAAAUAGGGCCGUUUUGUUCAGUUGAAGCCAGAGAUUGUGAAUUCGGGAUACAAGUGGGCUAUACUGAUAAGAAAAAGUACCAAUUUGAUCGAUGAAAUAUUGAAUGAAAUUAUAGGGGUCAAAUUGAUUUGAUUCAAGUGGGAUUAAGGUUCAAUUUGGAAAGAAACCUUAGCAAAAUUCGUAUGCCCAUAAACCCAACUCUUUAGCCUACCUAAAUGCUUCUAGAAGGGGGCAUAAUUGUCAAAAAUGAGGAGUGGAUGACAGCUGAUGGUGGCCCACGGAUGGCUGACCUAAGAGAGAGAGUGUGUGAGAAGAAAAUGAGAAAUUGGUUUUCUCUUCUUCUCUCUCUCCCCUCCGUCGACCGAAUGCAUCCCCCAUCUUCUUCUUUUUCUUCAAGACUCCAUGGAAGCUGAAGAUCAGCGAACCAGCAGGCCGAAGUAGCGAUUCCUCUCGGCGUCGAUGCAGCAAGCAACCGGAGCCGGAGUCGCUGCUGUCCGCCGUCCUGCUGCCCGUGCACAGCUCCGUCCCUCUCUCUUCCGCCCUUCUUGUUCGAACAUAGCAGAACAGAAGCAGAGACAGCACCACCGAGGGGAAGAUCGGAGCAGAUCGUCGUCGCGUCGGGGCACCGUCGCCGCCCGCGCACUCUGCCACCGCCCGAAAGCCCUCCACCUCUCUUUCAUCUCAUCAGCCACUGUUGACGUUCCCCUCCGUUUGCUGCUCGGGAUCUCAGAUCUGGGAAGACACCGGAGUUGGGGCAGCAGCUGGCGUUGCUGGACCGGAGCUGCCGCACCGCCGCCCGCGCGACGCCAUGCGCUCCGCCGCUGCUUCGCUCAGCUCGGUCUCCCUCUCGCCCAGCUCGUUGUUCCAGAGCUGCUGUCCAACCCCUGUUCCGCCUCUGUCCAGCAAGUGCAAGACCCGCCGGAGCUUCCUCCGACCACCUCCGGCCACCGUGAAGCCUCGCCUUGGUCUUGUUCAGCUCCUCCGCCCAUUCCCGAGCCCAACCAGCCUCGGAUCCGCCCUCCUUCGCCUCCAACCAGCAGCGAUCAGUGAGUGCAGAAAGUGGGUAUCGCAGAGGGUUUUGGCCCGUUUUGGCCGUUUUCCCGAGCCCGGAUGCUCGGCCCGCUUUGAGGAAAGUUGAUCCUCGCGUCGAGCCCGUCGUUUUGAGUGAGUUUUACUCACUAACGCCUUCUUAGUGCGCUAAUUAUACUUAAAGGUUGAUUAGUGUUAAUUAAGUGUAAUUAGGUUGUUAGAUUAGAUUUGAUUAGUGAUUAUUAGUUAAUUGCUUUGCAUAUUAGUUGUGUGAUUAGUGUAAUUAGAUAGAGAAUUGCUUGUAGUAUUUAUUGGAUGCUUCUUGGGAUUUUUCCCGUCCCUUAUCGGGUGUUAAUUAAGCAAAUCGGGCUUAUGUGGUAUUUUUAGGAAUUAAAUAUUAAUUUUCGAAAUUAAUUAUUUAAUUAUUUAUUUCCCGGAAAUUCAACUGGGAUGGCCAGUGACCGGGAUUUUAUGCUGAUGAUCGUGGCGCAGUCCGUUUAUUUAAUUGAGCUUUAUAUUGUGUUAAAUUGAAUUUAUUGUAUUUAUUUAUUUAAUUUUCGAAAUUAAUUAUUUAAUUAUUUAUUUCCGGAAAUCAACUGGGAUGGCCCAGUGACGGAAUUUCGUGCUGAGUGUCGUGGAGCAGUCCGUUUAUUUAUUUGAGCUUUAAUUCGUGUUGAAUUGAUUUAAUGGUGCAUUUUUAAGUAUGUUAUUAAAUAAUGCAAUUUUGGUCUUGUGAUUGAGAAUUGGUCGGAUAUCGGUUGUUAGUAUCGAAAGUGAGUUGGUAAAUCACCUUGAGGAUGCACGUGGCCCAGUGAAUUGGAAUAUCACUUGGGAAAGACACGUGGCUCGGUGAUUUAAUAUGUCAUCUUGGCGAAAAGAUAGCCUUAGAGAAUGCACGUGGCUCGGAGACUCGGUAUGUCCUCCUGGAGCAUGCACGUGGCUCGGUGACAUAGUAUGACAUCUUGAGAGGGUCGGGUGGGACCGUAAAGCCACUAGUUCUUGAGAGGGUCGGGUGGGACCGAAAAGCCACUAGUUCUUGAGAGGGUCGGGUGGGACCGAAAAGCCACUAGUUCUCGAGAGGGUCGGGUGGGACCGUAAAGCCACUAGUUCUUGAGAGGGUCGGGUGGGACCGAAAAGCCACUAGUUCUCGAGAGGGUCGGGUGGGACCGCAAAGCCACUAGUUCUUGAGAGGGUCGGGUGGGACCGUAAAGCCACUAAAUCCAAGGAAUUGCUUGGUGUUGGAUGAAUGACCUAGAAAUGAUUCGACUAGGUCGAUUGAUCGAUGAUUCGAUCCGAGUGUGAUUUGAUGCGAUUCAUUGCCUUGGUUUGAUGUUGUGAAUUGAAUGAUUGAAGGGAGAUGAUCGUGAGUGGUCUUCCUAAUGUGAAAUCGACUAAGUCGAUUAGAUCGAUGCUUCGAUCUGUGAUGUGAUUGCUUGUGUGCCUAUUCGAACUGUACUAAUAUGCAGGUGGAAUCUGAGGCUAAGGUACGUCCUCUGACUCAUGUUGUGCGUAGGCAGCCCUAAGGUAUAUUAGUUUACUAAUUGGGUCUUAGGAGCUAGAACUUGCUGAGACGUGGUCUCAGUGGUUAUUGAAUAACCAUUUCAGGACCUGGAUGAGGAGCAUGAAUCUGAUGAGGAGAUCUCUGUUGAGGAACCCAAAGAGGAGUAUGUGGAGGAGGACCCCGAGUAUGACAUCGAGUACGACUCGGAUGAGGAUCGAAAUCCUAUCCUGUCUUGUCAGACCUUGUUCGCAUGUAAAAAGAUGUAGUUGUGAAUUUUUCAGUAAGAAAAAUAUAUGGCCUGCUUUUCUAUCCCAUUGCUUUAUUGUCUGGGGAAUUAUAACUGCUUCCGCAUGUGCAUAUAUAAAAGAAAGGGUCGGCGAUACAUAGUCCUGGGAUAUCGCAUUUUUAAAUCGACCAAAAGUAAGGGAUGUGUGCGUGCCUGAGGGUCGGGGCGUGACACCACCUGCAUAUUAGCACAGUUCAAUAGGCACCCAAGCAAUUACAUCACAGAUCAAUAUCUCGAUCCAUCGACCUAGUCGAUUUCAUGUCAAUUCGACCAUUCCCCAGUCGUUUCCCUUAUUCAGGUUCAAAUCGUACUCACGACUUCACAAGCAUAGACUACCAAAUUUCUUGGCAACAAAUUACAGUCCCGAAGGACACGACCUAUCUUUAGGUAGCAAAUUACGGCCCAAUGGGCGCGACCUUUAAUGGUGGCAAAUUACGGC